UUUUUUUUUUUUUUUUAAAUAGUUUAAAAAUGAGCUUCAGAAAUACCUGAUUUAAUCUUAACUUUGAUCAUAUUCUGUGCCCCUUCUCUUAAUUGUGUGUCAUAUCUCCCUGCUUCCUGUAUUUCAGUCAGACUGUCCACCAAUGGCCAUGCUCCAGUGAUUCUCUGUGAGAAUCAACAGUGAUCAAAGGCAGCGGAAAGAUCAAGGAGAAUUAGGAUAGAGUAAUGGCCACAAGAUUUAGCAGAAAUUAAAUAGUUGGAUACUUUAAUCACAGCUGUUUUGACAGAAUGACCAGCACGGAAUCCAGACUGAAGGGGGUCAAGCAGAGAGUUGGAUUUGAGAAAGUCAGUCAGUCUGGUGUACACAACUCUCUCGAGGAUCUUGGAGGCAAAUGGCAGUAGCAAUAUAGGGC